AGACCGGAGCGGGCGGCUCCAGGUGGAAUGGAAAGAGCGGGCUUCUGUGGCGGCUCAGGGCGCUUGUAUGGAUCGUGCUUUUGGUCUAAGAACUCUGCCAAACCCAAGACCACAAAGAUGUUCUCCUAUGUUUCCUUCUAGACGUUUUAGAACGAAGAUUUUAUAUUUAGGCCUUUGAUCCAUUUUGAGCUAAUUUUUGUAUAUGGUGCAGUGUGGAUCUUGAAACUUUUUUUGCGUAUGGAUAUCUAGCACCGCUUGUUGAAAGAGCUAUUCUUUUUCCACUGAAUAGCCUUUACACUUAUGUCAAAAAUCAGUUGUCCUUGUAUGUGUAGGUCUAAGACUUUCUAUUCUGUUGCCAGAUCUGUCUAUCUUUAUGACAAUACUACAGUAUCUUGAUUAUUGUAGCUUUUUAAUGUCUUGAAAUCAGACAGUGUUUGGCGUCCAGUUUUUUCUUUCUCAAAGUUGUUUGGGCUCUUGUGUUUCCACAUGAAGUUUAAAGUCAGUUUAAACUUAGAGCCAGCUGGAGGUGAUUUCCUUUCCCCCAGGUCGAUUAGGCCCUGAUAAAACUCCAGCAGGUUAGACUCUGGUUAAAUAGUUUCACCUGAGGGUAGACCAUGUUAAGAAGAGCAGAAUGCCCUGGUGUAUUUCAAAAUGGUUCCACUUCCCUAACAUCUGCCAGAAGCACAAAGGAAUUUUUCUCUAAUAUUCACCGUGAGGACCUGGUGAGACUCACAAAAGUGUGAGUGGUCCCUCUGGAGUUCAUCUUUUCAGACGUGCCCACACUGAGUCUUCAGUAAUUUGUCAUUACAGUUCAGGUUUCCCUGCCCCGGCACCAGUUCCUGUGGGGGUUUUCAGCUCGUGAGUUUCUUCUCUGCUUCUAGGUUACCUAAAACUCCUGGGAAGUGAAAAGACACCUGGCUAAAGUCAGCAAGACAAUAUGCAAAACUGAGUGUGAUGGAAACUAUUCAUGAAUGAAGAUUAGCCCUGAGCUAACUACUGCCAGCCCUCCUCUUUUUGCUGAGGAAGCCUGGCCCUGAGCUAACAUCCAUGCCCAUCUUCCUCUACUUUAUACGUGGGACGCCUACCACAGCAUGGCGUGCCAAGCGGUGCCAUGUCCACACCUAGGAUCUGAACCGGCGAACCCCGGGCUGUGGAGGAGCGGAACCGGCGAACUUAACCACUGCGCCACCAGGCCGGCCCCCUAAUUCCAAAUUCUUGAUGAGAGGAUCAGAUUUGCCCAGUUAGAGCUCUGUGCUGAUCUCCAGUCCACUUAGCUGUAGUCAGGUCAUAUAGUUCAACAUGAGCUCCAGGGGCCAGCCCAGCGGAUCAAGGGGUGUUUGUAGGGGGAGUUUUUAGACGAAACAAAAGUGUUGCUGAUUCAUUCCCUGGGCACAGAUCCCUGUUAGUUCUCAGGAGCCCCCAAAUGCCUAUAAUUUUGUGGGGCCUAUAUACCCACCCAAUUCUGGGGCCUAGAACUCCUCUUGCCAUAACUCAUUUUAUUAAACAUCUAACUUGAGUAAAUUACAGAGUAAAGAUCUUUUAUUACCAGAGCACUUUAAAGCCUGUUCUGAUUGCUAGAUUAUCUUUGUGGAUGGAUAUCAACCUGAUGCAUGCCUAGCUGUCAUAGUCAAUAGAAGGACAGACUUCCCCUAUUGAUGAUAAUGUUUUGUUUUGUUUUUUUAAGAUUUUAUUUUUUCCCUUUUCUCCCCAAAGCCCCCCGGUACAUAGUUGUAUAUUCUUCGUGUGCAUCCUUCUAGUUGUGGCAUGUGGGACGCUGCCUCAGCGUGGUUUGAUGAGCAGUGCCAUGUCUGCGCCCAGGAUUCGAACCAACGAAACACUGGGCCGCCUGCAGCGGAGCGCGCGAACUUAACCACUCGGCUGCGGGGCCAGCCCCAAUGAUAACGUUUUUUUAAGAAACAUGAAUUGUGGUCCUAUUUUAAAAUCAUUAGUAGAAAAAAGUGGCUUCACAUAACUACAAAUAUAUUUUGAACAGUAACUGGCACAUAGUGGUUAUUCAAUGACUGAAUAUUCAGUGACUUUUCUACAAUAUGUAAUUGGUUUAUAACAUUGCUACACAGAAAAUUUUCGUUUUCUGGAAGGACAUUUUGCAGUUAAAUCAUACACGAGGUGGUCAUGUAGCUCUAAAGAGGUGCUUCAGGGAUGCAUGACUGUGGUUAUUCUUUGGCCAUUGUGGGUGAUAGCAACAGCUGCUUUGAAAGUGUUCCAGCCAAAAUUACUUCAGCUAUGCUUUAUGACAUGGAACUCUGGAAUCCUA
rnacentral:lncRNA from 1 species